CCAAUAGCGUAUAUUAAAGUUGUUGCAGUUAAAAAGCUCGUAGUUGAACUUCGGGGUCUACCCAUUGGUCAGGCUUAAUUGUCUGCACUGGUGAGAUGGAUCUCUACCUUCUGAGGAACUUUCAUGCCAUUUAUUUGGUGUGAUUGGAAAUCAGGACUGUUACUUUGAAAAAAUUAGAGUGUUUAAAGCAGGCUAUCGUCUGAAUACAUUAGCAUGGAAUAAUGAAAUAGGACGGACUGAUUCUAUUUCGUUGGUUUCUAGGAUCACCGUAAUGAUUAAUAGGGAUAGUUGAGGGCAUUAGUAUUCAAUUGUCAGAGGUGAAAUUCUUGGAUUUAUUGAAGACUAACUACUGCGAAAGCAUUUGCCAAGGAUGUUUUCAUUAAUCAAGAACGAAAGUUAGGGGAUCGAAGACGAUCAGAUACCGUCGUAGUCUUAACCAUAAACUAUGCCGACUAGGGAUCGGACGAAGUUAAUUUUAUAAUGACGCGUUCGGCACCUUACG
rnacentral:rRNA from 1 species